ensembl:lncRNA
UUACUUGAAAAGAGCCUAUUCGUGAGGAUGGAGAAGGAGACAUUUCCUAGAGACAGAUUGAAAUAAGUGUAAAAGCAAGCUAUGGUUUCAGCAUCCAGCGCUGCAGUGUUCACAUUAGUUUCACCUCUGACACUUUCAAAAGUUAUAGAGAAACAACCCACGUAGACUUUUAAUUGAGUAGAUCUGAAAGCUGUUCUACUAAGGAUGUGGGGGAGUCAGAUCGGUGGUUGUUUUGACCUUUGCAGAUCACUGAGGAUGGCCAGGAAGCAAAAAACAACGGAGGGUAAAAUAGAUUAAGAACAAAAUCCACAAAAAGCUGAGUGAGUAUCUGGGGCCCACACGUCCUUUCCGCGAGGGCGCCCCCACCCAGUGCCCGCCCGGGACGUCGCGCCCAGAGGGCACCCCGCCCCCCAGGGCCCCCAGGACCUCUGCGCUCUGACCAGGUCUUUUGGGCAAGAAGCCACAGGCAACGCUCUUGUUUGAAAUCCUUGAAUCUUUCUGGACUAGAGGCUGCCCCCCUGGUACAUAGUUGUGUAUUCUUCGUUGUGUAUUCUUCUAGUUGUGGCAUGUGGGACGCUGCCCCAGCGUGGUCUGAUGAGCAGUGCCAUGUCCGCGCCCAGGACUCGAACCAACGAAACACUGGGCCGCCUGCAGCGGAGCGCGCGAACUUAACCACUCGGCCACGGGGCCAGCCCCAACAUUUCUCUGUUUUUAAGAAAUUUUUUCUACUUGAUGCAUCAUUUCUUGAAGUUUUAGAAAAAAUUAAGAGAAUUAAAGUAGCUACCUUUAACGUGUGCUUCUUCAAAACUGUAACAAGGCUUAGAGAGAUAAAUGAAAGUCUUAACUGAUCCAAGUGAAAAAGAUAAACAGACAUGCAUGUUGAAACACUAAAUAAUAAUAUCUUUAGGUACAUUUAGGAUUUCAUCAUUCUCUUUGGCUAACCUAACUGCAGUAUAAUCAUGAACUCAUUUUUAAUGCAGUGGAAAAGUGAAAUUUUCAAGUGGUCUGACACAUGUAUAAAAAUGAUAUUUUCAUAGAUGGAGGAUGAAAACCAGAACCUAUAUUUGAGUAUAAUAAUGAGAUUCAUAUAUUAAUGGAGUAAUUUUUAGAAAAAUUAGCCAAAGAUUUUUUUAAAUUAUGCUUUUUAAAAAGAUGGUAUUAAUUUCAUUUGGAUAGAAUUUAGUAUGAUAAUAUAAUAUAUGCCUAGAGUCACAUAGCAUGUUACUUAGAUUUUAUGCAUUGUAAACUAUUCAUUUGUAGAAUGACCAUUUGAUUAAUUUUUAUAGUUGUUUCCAGCUCUUGACUGAAGUUCCCCACCUUAUUAUGUAACCAUGUGACCGUACUCAUCAUGUUUAUUUUAAUAUCCGUGUCUGAUAACUCCAAUAUCUGUAUCUACCAUGGGUUUGUUUCUGUUGUCUUUUUGUUUUCUGGCUUUGACUCAUUUGGUCUUUUUUCUUGGUAUGCCUGAAUUUUUUAAUGGAAUGUUUUCUUUCCAUUGUGUAUAAAAAAUUUUAGGGGUAAUUUGAAUGUCUGGAUAUUUUCUUUCUCAAGAGAAUUUACUUUUGCUUCAUUCAGGUGGAGGGAAGAGAUAGAUUAUAUUAAUUCAAUUCAAUCAAGGAUGGAGCUUGUUCAGAAUUGCAAUUCAGUCUUUGGACUGCUCUACUUUUAACUCUGAAAUAAUAUGUGUGCAUGUGUGUACAAACAUACAUACACAAAAACAAAUAUAAACAUUUGACA